rnacentral:siRNA from 1 species
AGGGCGUUGGUCUCUGAUUGGUUG